rnacentral:rRNA from 1 species
AUUGAACGCUGGCGGCAGGCUUAACACAUGCAAGUCGAACGAGUGGCGGACGGGUGAGUAAUGUCUCGGAAACUGCCUGAUGGCGGGGGAUAACUACUGGAAACGGUAGCUAAUACCGCCUACCAUCGGAGGUGCCCAGAUCGGAUUAGCUAGUAGGUGGGGUAAUGGCUCACCAAGGCGACGAUCCCUAGCUGGUCUGAGAGGAUGACCAGCCACACUGGAACUGAGACACGGUCCAGACUCCUACGGGAGGCAGCAGGGGGGAAUAUUGGACAAUGGGCGCAAGCCUGAUGCAGCCAUGCCGCGUGUAUGAUGAAGGCCUUCGGGUUGUAAAGUACUUUAGGCGGGGAGGCGUUAUCUGCAGAAUAAGCACCGGCUAACUCCGUGCCAGCAGCCGCGGUAAUUC